rnacentral:pre_miRNA from 1 species
CACAUACUCCCUCCGUCCCAAAAUAAGUGUCUCAAGCUUAGUACAACUUUGUACUAGAGUUAGUACAAAGUUGAGACACUUAUUUUGGGACGGAGGGAGUAUAAU